GCUUGCUUUGGCAACACAUAAACUAAAAUUGGAAUAAUACAGAAAAGAUUAGCAUGGCCCCUGUGCAAGGAAGACACACAAAUUUGUGAAGCAUUUCAUUGUUUU